rnacentral:rRNA from 1 species
ACGAAGGGGGCUAGCGUUGCUCGGAAUCACUGGGCGUAAAGGGCGCGUAGGCGGCGUUUUAAGUCGGGGGUGAAAGCCUGUGGCUCAACCACAGAAUGGCCUUCGAUACUGGGACGCUUGAGUAUGGUAGAGGUUGGUGGAACUGCGAGUGUGGAGGUGAACUUCGUAGAUAUUGGCAAGAACGCCGGAGGCGGAGGCGACCAAAUAGUAUAACACGGACGGUGAGGCGCGUAAGCGUGGCUAGCAAAAAG